rnacentral:rRNA from 1 species
CGAAGGGCGGGUGCUAUACAUGCAAGUCGAGCGGACAGAAGGGAGCUUGCUCCCGGAUGUUAGCGGCGGACGGGUGAGUAACACGUGGGUAACCUGCCUGUAAGACUGGGAUAACUCCGGGAAACCGGAGCUAAUACCGGAUAGUUCCUUGAACCGCAUGGUUCAAGGAUGAAAGACGGUUUCGGCUGUCACUUACAGAUGGACCCGCGGCGCAUUAGCUAGUUGGUGAGGUAACGGCUCACCAAGGCGACGAUGCGUAGCCGACCUGAGAGGGUGAUCGGCCACACUGGGACUGAGACACGGCCCAGACUCCUACGGGAGGCAGCAGUAGGGAAUCUUCCGCAAUGGACGAAAGUCUGACGGAGCAACGCCGCGUGAGUGAUGAAGGUUUUCGGAUCGUAAAGCUCUGUUGUUAGGGAAGAACAAGUGCAAGAGUAACUGCUUGCACCUUGACGGUACCUAACCAGAAAGCCACGGCUAACUACGUGCCAGCAGCCGCGGUAAUACGUAGGUGGCAAGCGUUGUCCGGAAUUAUUGGGCGUAAAGGGCUCGCAGGCGGUUUCUUAAGUCUGAUGUGAAAGCCCCCGGCUCAACCGGGGAGGGUCAUUGGAAACUGGGAAACUUGAGUGCAGAAGAGGAGAGUGGAAUUCCACGUGUAGCGGUGAAAUGCGUAGAGAUGUGGAGGAACACCAGUGGCGAAGGCGACUCUCUGGUCUGUAACUGACGCUGAGGAGCGAAAGCGUGGGGAGCGAACAGGAUUAGAUACCCUGGUAGUCCACGCCGUAAACGAUGAGUGCUAAGUGUUAGGGGGUUUCCGCCCCUUAGUGCUGCAGCUAACGCAUUAAGCACUCCGCCUGGGGAGUACGGUCGCAAGACUGAAACUCAAAGGAAUUGACGGGGGCCCGCACAAGCGGUGGAGCAUGUGGUUUAAUUCGAAGCAACGCGAAGAACCUUACCAGGUCUUGACAUCCUCUGACAACCCUAGAGAUAGGGCUUUCCCUUCGGGACAGAGUGACAGUGUGCAUGGUUGUCGUCAGCUCGUGUCGUGAGAUGUUGGGUUAAGUCCCGCAACGGAGCGCAACCCUUGGAUCUUAGUUGCCAGC